AGCGAACGCUGGCGGCAGGCUUAACACAUGCAAGUCGAACGCCCCGCAAGGGGAGUGGCAGACGGGUGAGUAACACGUGGGAACGUACCCUUUGGUUCGGAAUAACUUGGGAAACUCAAGCUAAUACCGGAUAAGCCCUUAUGGGGAAAGGUUUACUGCCGAAGGAUCGGCCCGCGUCUGAUUAGCUAGUUGGUGAGGUAAUGGCUCACCAAGGCGACGAUCAGUAGCUGGUCUGAGAGGAUGAUCAGCCACACUGGGACUGAGACACGGCCCAGACUCCUACGGGAGGCAGCAGUGGGGAAUAUUGGACAAUGGGGGCAACCCUGAGCCAGCCAUGCCGCGUGAGUGAUGAAGGCCUUAGGGUUGUAAAGCUCUUUUACCCGGGACGAUAAUGACUGUACCGGGAGAAUAAGCCCCGGCUAACUUCGUGCCAGCAGCCGCCGUAA
rnacentral:rRNA from 1 species